GCUGCCAGGAAGUGAUCGAUUUCGGACACGAAGGUACAUGUACAUUAGUCUGAAAUAAUAGACGUGUUAUACGGGAUUCUUCCAAUCCCUAACGUCUAAACGGGUUUGUGCAAAAAGCGGGAGUGUUUGGAAAAUAUUGAAAUUGUAUUAAAUGAAGUAUUUUAUGGUUGAAAUAGAUAAUUAAGGUUUAUAUUCAUAUUUUGCCAUGGAAGUGCAAAGCUAUUUUGCGAAAAAAGGCAUUUAAUGCAUUAAAACACAGUUUUUACCUUUCCAUUGAAAGGAAAGUUGACUGACACAGACAACAAUUAUGCCAAGCGGAACAACUUGACCCAAUCGUAAUAACCUCCGACAAGCUUCGAGAUAAUACAAUCGUAACAACUCGGCCAUGGCCGAACAAUGGGAACACCUAGGCCAGUAUUCAACAGGAAUUGACUAUUUCGAAUCUUACAGAAGAUGGCGAGUUGUUACAAUUGAUGGCCGAAAUGUUCCGAUUGUUGUAAAAUUGUGAACUGCAGCCUUGCAGGUGCCCUUCAUGUAUAUAUUGUUAUGUUUUGACAGAAUGAAAUGAAGAAAAAACCAUCAAACUCAUCACUUUUUGGUUACGGAAUUUAUAUAAAAUAACAUUAUCUGGUAAUAUUUCUUGUUUUUAUGAAAUGUUAUAGACGCAAUAUCCUUUAACCCCGGAAUCCCGAUCGGAAUAACUACCCACUUGUCGUACAAAACAAUUUGUACGUGAAGGAUUUGUUGUGUCAAAAAUCUGUCAACGUACAAUUAUUUGGACUAGAAGGUACAUCUAGCUGAUCCACAUCUCUUAGUCUAAAUAUUUGUACAUUGACGGACUCUUUUUACUAUUAAAAAAAAAAUAUAUACAUAUAUUUACAUUAUAUAAAUAUGGCAAAUCCUUCAUUACAACAUCUUCAUGUUACUUUCAAUUCAGAGUUGAUUAUCCACUAAAAUUAUUUUGCAUUUUUAAUUGUUGUUUAACCUGAAACGUUUCAACCAUCAAAAAAGAACAUAUGUGCUUCAAUAGUCUAAAAAAUAGACGUGUUAGUUAUAACCAUGUAAGUGCAAAUAUUUUUUUCACAAAACAAGCAUUUAAUGGAUUUAAACACAACCAUUUUACCUAGUAUAGCAACUGGACCAUCUCAGGUUAACUUCGAGAUAGACCAGUCACCUUUUGUAUAUAUAAUUUUAACAACUUGACCAUGGCCAAAAGGCUCCGAUUGUUGUAAAUCUAUGUACUGCAGCCUUGCAGGUGCUCUUCAUGUAUAACAGUUUAUAUCAUUAUGUUUUGACAGUAUGAAAUGAAGGAAACACUCAUCAAACUCAUAAUAAUUUGUCGCAUUUUAUUUUUGUGUACAUAACUCAUAUUUCAGAUAAUUAUCUGACCGGAAUCCCAUUCGGAAUAGCUACCCACUUUUGGUACAACAAAAAAUGUAUGUAAAAGAUAUGCCAUUUCAAAAUUUGUAAAAAGAUCAGUCAAGUUACUAUUAUUUGGACUAGUGCUUCAAGUGUUUGAUUUAUUUUCUUUAUAAUGUAUAAUGCACCUGUCAAUUUUAGAGCCAAGCUGGGAACUGCCUAAAAAUCAGUUACCCGGUUAGCUCAGUUUAACAGAUCUCCAUGCAAGUGUUCACAUGGUCGUGGGUUCAAGACUAGAAGAUUAUUAGUAUUGAGAUGGACAAAAUGAAACAUGAGCCUACCAAAGCUGACAGAUUGCACAAGAAACACAUAAAUGCAGAUUGGAGGAUUCAAUCUCUGGAAAAUAGAAAAGGGCAUGUUACAUACUGUUAUCAUUGCCAUGACAGAAACCAUAUUGAGGAGCUGGUCCACCUGUAGGAAGAAUUGCGCUAUUGGUUGGAGCAGCACUAUUCCCCAGCCAUACACCAGCACUUAGUUUGCCAUAGGGAGCAUUUCUGAGCAGUUAUGGAGACCAAUAAUUAUGCAGUUGUGGCAGUGAAACUUGCACCAGUGUGUUUUCUGUGGAAAUAAAGAGAUAGUGUCCAGCAAUGAAGACCAAACUCAAGAUCUGACCUUGUAAGGCCAAUAUGAAAUAACUCUGUGGAAAAAUGGGAAAAACCUGCAGUCAGGAAUGCACGGAAAUCAUCAAAAGAACAGUGUUAAAUUAAUCUUGAAUAACUUGACAUUUAUUUUGUUUGACAUAUUUAUUCAUGGUGCAGUGAAAACAUGUUUUUUUCCUCAUGGUUAUUUAAAUUUAGAAUUGAUAGGAGGGAACAUCAUUAUGUAGUUUCAUGUUCAUAGUCAGAUCAAAACCCAUGUACAUGUAUAAAAUAAUGAGCUUUCGAAAAUAUCAAAAUGGAACUUGUUGUAUGUAGUGUAAGUUAAUUAACAUAAUAAACAAAAAUAUUUAAUAAAUUUCAAUUUAUUAUGCCCCCUUCAAAGAAGAGGAGUAUAUUGCUUUGCACAUGUUGGCUGCUACGUCCGUCUGUCUGACAGUAGACCAAAGCUUUUCCUGGUUGAUAACUCUACAAUUCCUAGACCUAUUGUCAAACUUGAUAUGAAAGUUUGGUUUAACCAGUAGAUGACGCCUUUUGAUUUUAGGGGUAAUAUGGUCAAAGGUCACAGUGACCUUGAACAGGAAGGUGUCAAAGAAUGUCUGACUGAUAAGUUGACAAUGCCUGCACCUAUGGCCCUGAAACUCAACAUGGAGGCUUAGCCUGACUAUUAGAUGAUCCUAUUGAUUUAAGGGGUCAUUGGGUCAAAAUACAAGGUCACAGUG